rnacentral:rRNA from 1 species
AUUGAACGCUGGCGGCAUGCCUUACACAUGCAAGUCGAACGGUAACGGGCCUUCGGGUGCCGACGAGUGGCGAACGGGUGAGUAAUACAUCGGAACGUGCCCGAUCGUGGGGGAUAACGAGGCGAAAGCUUUGCUAAUACCGCAUACGAUCUACGGAUGAAAGCAGGGGACCGCAAGGCCUUGCGCGGACGGAGCGGCCGAUGGCAGAUUAGGUAGUUGGUGGGAUAAAAGCUUACCAAGCCGACGAUCUGUAGCUGGUCUGAGAGGAUGAUCAGCCACACUGGGACUGAGACACGGCCCAGACUCCUACGGGAGGCAGCAGUGGGGAAUUUUGGACAAAGGGCGCAAGCCUGAUCCAGCCAUGCCGCGUGCAGGAUGAAGGCCUUCGGGUUGUAAACUGCUUUUGUACGGAACGAAAAGCCUUCUUUUAAUACAGGAGGGUCAUGACGGUACCGUUAGAAUAAGCACCGGCUAACUACGUG